AAGUUGAUACUAAACCUUUACUAGUGAGAACAUUGCCAUAAGGGCAGGGGAAGUCUUCAGAAAGUGACACCUAGCAUCUAAAAAGUGUCCAUAGGCCUGUGAAAAACAGUACUGCCCCAAGAGAUUAGCACAGAACAGUUAGGUUGCAGAGUUAGACAAGAAUAAUAAAUAGAUGAAGUUGGGACUGUCGUGACUAGCUAUUGCCUGCUGGAAAUGAGUCCUCCAUUGUAUUUGGGUCUGAGAAAGCAGCGCCCACAGCCACGGCUACCACUUCUAAGACAAGAGUCAGAAAAGCACAUAAAAAGAUGUAUGGGCAUAUUAACAUAAAUUUGCAGCUAGCUAUGAAACAAAGACACCCAGCAUGCAUCCUUUUGAUAACGAAACAGUAGUCGUCAUAGGACACAGUGCAGCCAUAGCUUCCCGUGUGCACACAGCACUCAAGCCAUCCGUUAAGAUUCGGCAUGACUUUCAUACAGUAAACAACAACAAAUGAUUCUUAAAAUCCAUCAAGAAAGAGUUUCCUAAAUGCAAAAAUAAUUAUAGAAUCCCUCUAUGAUGCCAGUAAUUAGUUUUGGGUCACCCAGUGUCUGGUGUACUGUAGGGAUCCAGUAACUUUUCAGGGAAGGCAUGUAAACAUUUAGAAGACAGGCAAAAACACAUUUUCUCAAGCUGUUGGAACCAUUUUACAAUGAAAACCCACUGAACAUGUGUUAGGUCACACUAGGUGAGGGGACAGAACAAAAACAUAUUGAAAUGGAAGACUGCAAAGGGAAACAUUUUGUUGGUUUUUAUUGCUGUUCAAGGUUUUAUCUAUAUAGUUCUGAAUAUUUUUAUAAAGGUUCAGAAUAAGUUAAAGAUUUAAUUUUGCUAAGGCGUUUAGGCAAACACAAUGAGCGCGAAGACACACAGCUCCCUUCGCUUUCUUCAGUCUUGUGUCAUUCCUUUGGCACAGAGUACCAAACACCAAAGCUUAGAAACACAUUCAACUGAAAAAUUUCCUUUUGUUCUAAAUAUUUGGCAUCUAAGAAGUCAUCUAUUAAGAAACCAGACUUUGAAAUCAUAUUCAUACUAUGUCUGAUGAAAAGCAAAGCAAAGAGCAGCAUGAGACUGUUUCCAAAACUCUGCUCUACACACACGCACACACACAUGCGCGAGAGAGAGAGAGAGAGAGAGAGAGAGAGUGCAAAUAAAUGCAACUGAACAUAAACUCAUUAACUAGGUUAGACAUGAAAACAUUUAGGGUAAAAUAUUUUGGAAAAGGAGAAGGAAUGGCCAGUUAGGAGGAGAGUCCUGGCUCAGAGAGUCAGAAGAAAUACCGCUGACUUGAACUAGAUGGCAGGAGAAGACGAUUGCUGGCAUAGAGCCACCUAGAAGGGAGAAGAGGCAAGUGGUCUGCAAAGGUGCAUAGCUUGUAGUGCAGGAACACCAGCUUUAAAACUCUGCAGACACGUGUUCAAGUGAACCAGAGACAUGGAAACACAGGAUGAAAACCUCCACAAGUCCUCAGAGUUUUUAAAUAUCCAAAGCUCCCAGACUGUCCUUCUAGCUGCCAUUCCUCUUUCCUGACUCUUAACUCUGAACCCAGUGAGAAAAACUGGAGACCGGAAUCAAAAGAGCUUGGCUGACAAGGUGAAGGUCAGGGUUCUGCAAACUGAAUCUCUGCAGAUACCAAGAAGCUCUAAUCUGAUAUUCAGUCAGGACACAGCCCCAAAGAUUACGAUGCCUUAAUGUAAAUGACACUCACAAGGGGGAAGACCAUGAGCAGCAAAGCAGUAAACUUGAAAAUGCAAACUACAUGUAAGGUUGCCUCGGGAUUCGCUCCUGGAUGGCGGCCAAGCUGCAACAUUUUAGCAUAAGGAACGGGAAAAUGUUCCUUUGAGCAGAUGUAUCAUUUCUUUAUUCUACUUUGGUGUGAUUAGAAGAAAAGAAAGAUCUAAGCGCACAAAAAGUAUAUAUAUAUAUAUUAUAUAUCGUUCUCCAACAGUACAGCUCCUAGCCAGAGACAACAAAGUAUUGCUCUUUACCAAGAAUACAAAUAUUAAUAUGGAGGCAGAAAAGAAAAACACAUUUCAAAAGCGUGCCUCAGGCAAGAACGAAGUUUCAGGGCUGACACACUUAACUACACAGCCCAAGCCGUAGAGUCUGCUCCAUUCCAGCGAAGAACGGACCCACAUGGAUCUAAUACUGUAGUCCCAAGGGAGUCAUUACCUAAAUGGCGUUGAAGACAGUUUUUCAUAGUUUAAAGUUUGAAUUGGAUUAACUCUACUUCUGGCAUCUAGGCAGGUUUUAGUUUGAGCGUCAUCUAUGACUUUUAUAGCACCCAUUUCUUUGAAAUAAUUAUAGGAUUACCUUACACUGCACACUGCACAUAUGGGACAACAGAAGGCGGUGCAGACUAGUCGAAUCCACUAUCUGAAAUGAAGGUUUUAAGGUACUCAAGGCUGAAGACUUUGUGAAACGGGAUUAAAAGGCACACAGAAUAACUCAAGUGCUUAAUACUGCAUUCAUUUACUUUAAAACAUACAUAGAGACUCCCCCAGGGGAGGUCAUUUUACCUGACUUACCCAAUCCACAGCAAGAUGGGAAAAGGCUUCGUGGCGAUCGAAGUCUUGUUCCAAAUUUAAACCAAGAACCCCAAGGGAGUGAAAGACGACUUGGGGGACCACUCCUCCUGCAGGGUGUGGGGGCGGGCUACCCUUUCAGAGAGAUACCCAGGGUCUCCUAGAACUCAAGUGACUAGGAACACUCGGGGAGUCCGAGUCCCUAUGCCCAAGUUCUGCGACUCGCGUGGCCAUUGCGGGAUCUGCACGCCUCGAGUGAGAGUCAGCCAGCGGCACCGGGGACCCACAGAGGAGAAGGGUAGCAACCCCAGGUGCAGGCCGGAGACCCAGGGUCCGGAGCUGCAGUCCCUGUCCCCAGUGCCCCCGACGCUCCGCUCAGCAGUCGCUGGAGCGAGGCCUCCGGGCAGCUGCACGCAGCUGGACGCGGCCUGGACGCCCGCGCUCCACCGCUCGCUUCCCUUCGCCCCCCCCACCCCCCCCGCACACUAUCCGCAACUUACUGGGGCAGUGCCCUGGCCGCGCGACGGGGACGGGAACAGGCACGGGCGAGCGAGGGGCUGCAGCGCUCUGCGGAUCCCAAGCUCGCGAAGGCUGGACGAGCAGCAGCAGCAGCCUUUCCAGGUCCGCGCAGACAGAAGCUCCUGCCGCCGAGCUUGCAGAAGG
rnacentral:lncRNA from 1 species